rnacentral:misc_RNA from 1 species
CAGAGUUCAUGCCCGAAAGGGUAGAUCUCCCACCCUUGUGUAUUAUUACUUUGUUGCUUUGGCGAGCUGCCUUUUGGCCUCGAGCUUUCGAGUUUGAGCGUGCUCGCCAGAGGAUAUCAAAACUCUUUUUAUUAAUGUCGUCUGAGUACUAUAUAAUAGUUA